rnacentral:rRNA from 1 species
UGAGUAACACGUAUCCAACCUGCCGUCUACUCUUGGACAGCCUUCUGAAAGGAAGAUUAAUACAAGAUGGCAUCAUGAGUCCGCAUGUCCACAUGAUUAAAGGUAUUCCGGUAGACGAUGGGGAUGCGUUCCAUUAGAUAGUAGGCGGGGUAACGGCCCACCUAGUCUUCGAUGGAUAGGGGUUCUGAGAGGAAGGUCCCCCACAUUGGAACUGAGACACGGUCCAA